UACGAAGGGGGCUAGCGUUGCUCGGAAUCACUGGGCGUAAAGCGCACGUAGGCGGAUUGCUAAGUCAGGGGGUGAAAUCCUGGAGCUCAACUCCAGAACUGCCUUUGAUACUGGUGAGCUUGAGUCCGGGGAGAGGUGAGUGGAACUGCGAGUGUAGAGGUGAAAUUCGUAGAUAUUCGCAAGAACACCAGUGGCGAAGGCGGCUCACUGGCCCGGUACUGACGCUGAGGUGCGAAAGCGUGGGGAGCAAACAGGAU
rnacentral:rRNA from 1 species